rnacentral:sRNA from 1 species
UGACAUAAGUGUCAAAAGUCAAAAGCGUUCUUGCUUGCAAGAAAAGCUUGUUGACUUUAUGACACGCUGAAACAUGAGGAAAUAGCAAUUUUCGUAGAAAAUUAGCGGUUUCCGAAUGUUUCUAGGAUUGCGAGAACAGUCCUCGAUUAUGCA